GGGGUUGUGGCUCAGAGGUAGAGCACUCGCCUAGCAUAUGAGAGGCACUGGGUUUGAUCCUCAGCACCA
rnacentral:tRNA from 1 species